UCUCUUCUUUCUCUCUGUCUCACACACACACACACACAUUCACAUGCACUUCUCUCACACACAUACACAUUUACAUGCACACGUAUUUGUGCACAAACACAUGCACACAUAUUUACACACACAUGUACACAUUUACACACAAACUCACAUGCACACAUAUUUACACAUGUACAAUAUAUUUUCUCACACACAUUCACAUGCACACAUAUUUACACACAAACACAUGUUCACAUCUACACACACACAUGUACACAUGUACACAUGCACACAUUCUCUCUCUCUCUUCCCCCUCUCUCCCCUUGAGAUUGUAGGUAGAAAGCACUCGGCAUAGUGUCUGUCUUGAAGCCUAGAACUCGAUAAAUAUUAUUGACUAUGGCUAAUAUUAUAAUUAUCAUGCUCAGAAGGAAAAUGUCGCCCUGAGCUGCUUGUUGUUACUCUCGAGAGCCAGAAAGUCCUCUUACUUAGCCCAGUGACCCUUUCUGCUGGUUCCCGUACUCCAUCCUUCAUACACACAGCACAUUAAGAGUCUGUUCAUUCUUGGGAUGUGUGCAAAAUUCCAAUUCCUGUCAGGAGAAUUUAUGUGCGGUUUUAGAAGGGAUAAUCGACCAGUUAGUAUGUGCGUGCUGAUUUUAUACACAUACGCGGGGCCGUUUACAGCACACAUUAUAACAUCCUCAGUCUCUGCCAAGAAUGCAUAUUUCUUAGCCCCGUGCAUUUGCAUAUUAUGGGUUCAUAAUUCCAAAUAGCUGUAAAGAUCUCUAAGGAAAAUGUAGUCACUGUACUCCGAUGCUCUAAAUCUCAAUAGAGUAGUAGAACCUGGCUAAUUUUUGCCCCUGCUAAUGUGCCAGCCUUAUAAUUUUUACACUCUUGCACAUACACACAAAUCUUUGACUUUAUCCUACUUCUAAGCAGAGAUUUAAUGGCUGGGAGCUGAGUUAUGCUGCCUAUUCCACAGACUUCAUUACCUUUCCAAAAUAUAUCAUACACACGGCACAAUGUACCCUGGCCUCGUUAUAGAUGAUUAAAAAGAAAAGAUUUGUCAAAAUAAAUGAACCGACUGAUCUGAUCAUCCCCUGAUGGGGGGGGUCCCUGGUUCCCCCUCCCCCACUUCCACCUUGAGUCAUCUCCCCAGUCUCUGGCUGAGCUUAGCUCCGUGAGGAUGAGGACGCAGAUAGACAGCGCUUCCAAAAUUGCUCCUGCAAGCUGGGAUCACUAGGAAAUUCAGCCUCCUACCCCACAGCCGCCCCCUAAUCAAUUGUUAGAGCAACUGCCAUUGGCAGUAAUUGAUCCGACCAAACCAAACAGAGCGUUAGAAAGAAAAGAAACUUCUGGAACUAUUUACCCUACUCCACAGGUUCGAGGUCCCUAGAUUUUAAAACAUGGUCAGGUAGAGUUUUCCUUUUUUGAAGUUUAGGGGGCAAAGAUUUGAAGCUGUAAGUCUGGUCCCCUCUAUUUGAGGUUAGCAAGACUUGGACAGCAAAGCCGUGGUAGUUUUCAAGUGCAGUGGCCUUGGUACAGAUGCUGCCAAAACCACCGUGGAGUUGCUGAGCUGGAGUUGGUCAGGGCGGGGGGAGCAGGCACCAGUGGCCUCAUUGUGUGGCUAGCUUUGCCGCAGGAUGCCAUACUGAAUUUUAAAGUGCGUGCUGCAAGGAGCUCUCUGGAGACCAGUUACCAUCUUUGCAGGCAUUGGGGAGGUUCUGGGCUACCUGAGGAUGGGGGCUGUCCCGGCAGUUGGUAAAGCAGCAGCCAGUCUUGAGUCAGGAGCCUGAGGUUGCUGAACGCAUACCUUUGUAGUUUAUUUUAAUCAGGAGCACUUGAUUUAGGGGUGUGUGUGUUCAUGUAUGUGUGUGUGUGUUCAUGUAUGUGUGUGUGUGUGUUCAUGUGUGUGUGUGUGUGUGUGUGUGUACAUGUGUGUGUGUGCACAUGUGUGUAAUCUUCUUGGAGGUAUCCUGACCAAAAAUGUGUUUAGUUUUGAUUGAAAGCUUAGAGAGAUAAGAAUCAAAUAAAAUAUUCACAUUAAGGAAAAGUCCAUUUUUUUUUUGUCAAAAAGCUUUUCUGCUCUGUAGAACUGGGAGUUGAAUACAAAAUUCAUGCUUGCUAGAGAAAUCUUAUUGCAGAACUACAUCGUCAAGUUCACAGAUAGCUUCCCCCAUUUUUAAUUUUCACUUUCUUUCCCCUCCUCCCUCUUCCCUUCUUUCUUUCCUUUUUUUUUUUUUUAAUUACUUAUUUUGUAUGUAUAGGUGUUUGCACAUGAGUGUUUUGUGCCUGCAUGUGUACCCAUGUAUGCCACAUGUGUGCCUGGUGUCCAGGGAAACUAUAAAAGUCAUCUGAUCCUGGGGACUAAAGCCAACAUGUGGGUGCCUGGAAUUGAACCUGGGUCUUCUGCUAGGAAAGCCAGUGGUCUUAACCGCUGAGCCAGCUCCCUAGCCCCUCCCCUUCCUUUCUUUCCUCCUCUCUUCCUCUCCCCUCCUUUGCAUUUCAUGUUUUAUGAGACAGGGUUUUACUAUGUAGAUUAAUCUGUCUUGGAUUUACAAUCAUCUUGCCUCAGACAUCCAAGAGCUGGGGUUUUAGGCAUGUAUAUCCAUACUCAGCAAACUUGAAUGUUAAAUUCUCAUGUGAUAGGAUUCAGUGUGUUUUAGGUAUACAGUUUACUGACUAACUUUGCAUGAAUGAGAGUUGAAUUCUUGACUAGUGAAUAGCACAAGAUGUAGACCCAAGGCUGCAAAAAUGAAAACUAGAGAGGUACCCUUCUUGUUUCCAGCCCUUGGACGGGUGCUUCCUCUUUCUCUUGCCUGCAGGGGGAGCCACACCAUCAGAAUGUAUGUCAGGGGACAUUCAGAUUGUGCCCUUUGGGUCCCACUUGGGUGGAGCUCUUCUGUGCUUGAGCAGCAAGAGUUCUUCUUCCUUGGGUUAUCAUCCGUUCACAGAUGUCAAGAUACCAUCACAUCCAAAGCAUAUUCAUCGGCACAGUUGGCCUAAACCAUUUUCUGUUCUAUCAACCGACAGAAGCUGCCCUGCCUGGGCUCAUCUCAGCCAAUUUUCCAUUAUCUGUACAGCAGCUAUUGUCCUAGAGCUGACGGUAGCAGACCAGGAACCCUCACACCAGAAAGGGAUCUUAGACCUGGGCCUCACGACUCUGCUUUUCUGGAAUGACUUGAUGUGAACACAGGAAGAGCAAGAAGAUGGAGUCACGGUUGUUAAAGGCCCUCUUGUCCCCUUUCUAGGUCGGUGGUAGGACAGUUGCCUGGCCUAGCUCCAGAGCCAUCUUUCUACACUUCCAGUGUUCUUGGUGAAGACAGUGCUAGAGAGGAGUGGAGCCCCUGGGGACACCCCUGAACAUAGGCCUUUGUUCCAAAAGAAGCCAUUUGUUAUACCUGAUAACUCCAAGCAAGGAAUCAAGACAUUAG
rnacentral:lncRNA from 1 species